rnacentral:rRNA from 1 species
CAGUCGCCGCGGUAAUACGGAGGGAGCUAGCGUUGUUCGGAAUUACUGGGCGUAAAGCGCACGUAGGCGGCUUUGUAAGUUAGAGGUGAAAGCCUGGAGCUCAACUCCAGAAUUGCCUUUAAGACUGCAUCGCUUGAAUCCAGGAGAGGUGAGUGGAUUUCCGAGUGUAGAGGUGAAAUUCGUAGAUAUUCGGAAGAACACCAGUGGCGAAGGCGGCUCACUGGACUGGUAUUGACGCUGAGGCACGAAAGCGUGGGGAGCAAACAGGAUUAGAUACCCGGGUAGUCCCUGUCUCUUAUAC